rnacentral:rRNA from 1 species
UAGGGAAUCUUCCGCAAUGGGCGAAAUCCUGACGGAGCAACGCCGCGUGUGUGAUGAAGGUCUUCGGAUCGUAAAACUCUGUUAUUAGGGAAGAACAAAUGUGUAAGUAACUAUGCACGUCUUGACGGUACCUAAUCAGCAAGCCACUUCUAACUACGUUCCAGCAGCCGCUGUAAUACGUAGGUGGCAAGCGUUAUUCGGAAUUAUUGGGCGUAAAGCGCGCGUAGGCGGUUUUUUAAGUCUGAUGUGAAAGCCCACGGCUCAGCCGUGGAGGGUCAUUGGAAACUGGAAAACUUGAGUGCAGAAGAGGAAAGUGGAAUUCCAUGUGUAGCGGUGAAAUGCGCAGAGAUAUGGAGGAACACCAGUGGCGAAGGAGACUUUCUGGUCUGUAACUGACGCUGAUGUGCGAAAGCGUGGGGAUCAAACAGG